rfam:Fonsecaea multimorphosa CBS 102226 unplaced genomic scaffold supercont1.14, whole genome shotgun sequence.
UUAUGAUGAGAAUCCAGCUGGCACCAGUCUGAGAAGACUUGUACUCUUUACAUGCGGAUCAGCUUUACAUGGCCUUGAGCCUACAACCUGAA